UCGAGGAGCGAACUGCCAUUUGAGACUGGCUAAAUCCCAAAUUACACUCUACUCCCUAUGUAGUGAACUACUUUUCAAUUAAAUUCAGAAAAGUGGACAAAUCGAAAGUGCAAUUCUAUUAGCACGAUGGUGGUGCUUCAGACACAGAACAAACAAGCACAGAUACAAUAAAUAGACAAGAAUAGGGCUUUGGUCAAACGUUGUGCUCCAUAUAGGGAAUAGGGUGUUAUUUCGGAUGCACACAGUUAGAGAGCUUUGGGGGACCACUUUCAGUUGUUUUAACUGUUGAUGUGCGAAUGCCCUCAAACUCAAAUCUGGACCUCCAUGCCAGUUCCACUGCUUCCUGUCAUUCUUCCCCUCUAAUCAGGGACCUGGGACACCAGGUGGGGUCUACUUAAUUACCAGGUAGAACAGAAUACCAGCAGUAGUCCAGACCUCCGUAGGGUAAGAUUUGAAUACCCCUGUGCUAGUGCCAGGCUACAUCCAUUCACACGAAGGCUAAACAUAUUUUCUGUCUGCUUAUAAUCCAAAUGAUCCUAAUCCGCCGAGAUACAAUAGGUAACCUAAAUCACACAACCUAUUUAGACCAUAUGCCAAACCCACGCCGUUGGUCUACACCAGUCAAAGGUUUACUGGUUUAGGUAGCCAUUAACGUGUGUGUGUGUGUGUGUGUGUGUGUGUGUGUGUGUGUGUGUGUGUGUGUGUGUGUGUGUGUGUGUGUGUGUGUGUGUGUGUGUGUGUGUUCCUAAAUGUAUAGCUCUGAGCUGGCAUUUACGUGGUCAUAGGCUGCGUCGUCAACAGUAUAUGUACGGUACAACGGCCUCUUCCGGGUGUUCUAUUUGAAAACCUUUGAUCCAACUGCACAGACCUAGAUACAGUUUAGCCCAGCCAAAGAAAUGUGCCUCACCUCAACCUUCAUUCUAUUCAAUGAUGUAUGAAAACAGAUAAUAGUCCAUUUAGUUCUCUCAGGGGGAGGUUGGUUGAAUCAUAAGAGCAAUGUCAAAUCUGACAAGCACUUCACUGUGGUUGCUACGGAGACAGCGACCAUGUGAUUUAGAUGACACUGUACAAGCAAAGAGGUGUGUGUGUGUGUGUGUGUGUGUGUGUGUGUGUGUACUGACUACUGUGAGACGGGCACAAACAGAUGAGGAAAGGUAGCAAACAUGAAGACCGUUGUAACAGAGAGGAGGAGGGUUAUUCAUUGGAGGGAAACGAUUAAAAGAUGAGAGGUUAUAUUGGGGAGUUUGGAGAAGAAGCAAAAGAGGGAGAUAUAAAAAAAUAAAAGCCAGAGGGAAUGAGGAGAGAAGAGAAUAGGUUAUUGGGGAUGGAGAGAAAAAGAGGAGAGGAAUGAGGAGAGAAGAGAAUAGGUUAUUGGGGAUGGAGAGAAAAAGAGGAGAGGAAUGAGGAGAGUGAGAGAAUAGGUUAUUGGGGAUGGAGAGAAAAAGAGGAGAGGAAUGAGGAGAGAAGAGAAUAGGUUAUUGGGGAUGGAGAGAAAAAGAGGAGAGGAAUGAGGAGAGAAGAGAACAGGUUAUUGGGGAUGGAGAGAAAAAGAGGAGAGGAAUGAGAGGAAUGAGGAGAGAAGAGAAUAGGUUAUUGGGGAUGGAGAGAAAAAGAGGAGAGGAAUGAGGAGAGAAGAGAACAGGUUAUUGGGGAUGGAGAGAAAAAGAGGAGAGGAAUGAGGAGAGAAGAGAAUAGGUUAUUGGGGAUGGAGAGAAAAAGAGAGGAAUGAGGAGAGAAGAGAAUAGGUUAUUGGGGAUGGAGAGAAAAAGAGGAGAGGAAUGAGGAGAGAAGAGAAUAGGUUAUUGGGGAUGGAGAGAAAAAGAGAGGAAUGAGGAGAGAAGAGAACAGGUUAUUGAGGAUGGAGAGAAAAAGAGGAGAGGAAUGAGGAGAGAAGAGAACAGGUUAUUGGGGAUGGAGAGAAAAAGAGGAGAGGAAUGAGGAGAGAAGAGAAUAGGUUAUUGAGGAUGGAGAGAAAAAGAGGAGAGGAAUGAGGAGAGUGAGAGAAUAGGUUAUUGGGGAUGGAGAGAAAAAGAGGAGAGGAAUGAGGAGAGAAGAGAAUAGGUUAUUGAGGAUGGAGAGAAAAAGAGGAGAGGAAUGAGGAGAGAAGAGAAUAGGUUAUUGAGGAUGGAGAGAAAAAGAGGAGAGGAAUGAGGAGAGAAGAGAAUAGGUUAUUGGGGAUGGAGAGAAAAAGAGGAGAGGAAUGAGGAGAGAAGAGAAUAGGUUAUUGGGGAUGGAGAGAAAAAGAGGAGAGGAAUGAGGAGAGUGAGAGAAUAGGUUAUUGGGGAUGGAGAGAAAAAGAGGAGAGGAAUGAGGAGAGUGAGAGAAUAGGUUAUUGGGGAUGGAGAGAAAAAGAGGAGAGGAAUGAGGAGAGAAGAGAAUAGGUUAUUGAGGAUGGAGAGAAAAAGAGAGGAAUGAGGAGAGAAGAGAAUAGGUUAUUGGGGAUGGAGAGAAAAAGAGGAGAGGAAUGAGGGAUACGAAUGGCAGGGUGAACAGUGCGAUGGAAAGAGAAGAGGGUAAAGCACCGAGCAGGUCCUGUGUAGCUUUAGUAGGAGAGUGGUUAUGUGAGGUGCACAUGUGACCUGAGCCUCCCUGGAAGACCAGAGAGAAGAGUGGCCGAGAAAGAGAGAGUGUGUGUGUGUGUGUGUGUGUGUGUGUGUGUGUGUGUGUGUGUGGCAGCUGCAGUGGCCAGGACUGCAUUAGAAUGCUGAAGGUGCUUAUGUAUACUGUCAUGGGCUAAUUCCCAAAUAGCUCCCUAUAUAGUGCACUACCCAUAGGGCUCUGGUCAAAAGUAGUGCACCAUGUAGGGAAUAUGGUACCAUUUGGGAUGCAAUAAUGCUGUUGGAGCUGGGCUAAAGUGGAAGCUCUGCUCUGAAAUGGGUCACUAUCUAUUUUAUGAGAGGUGCCUGGGUUUUAUACCGGGGUUGAUUUGAAGUCUGUUACCUGAAUAUAAUAGCAUUUUGGUAGUUGAAACAAGCUUUAACUGAGGCAAAUUUGGUGGUGAUAAAUGGUUUGUGUCCAUUUUUAUUAGGUGAAUGACGUUGCACUAAACAUUAUGUGGUCACCCUUUUCACUGUGUCCCACCUCCAUCCAACCUAUCAGAACAUAAUGGAACUAAGGCCCUCUUCUAACAUGGAUAGAAGCAUCCUCAUACUCAAUGAUAAACCUGCAACUACUGCUCAAUCAGUAAAUCUAUCAACAACAACAAAAAUAUAUUUUAUAAAGCCCUGUUUACAUCAGCAGUUGUCACAAAGUGCUUUACACAAGUCCCACCUAGGUAAAAAGUAUGUUUAAACAGUUUUGUAA